UACGAGGGGGGCAAGCGUUGUUCGGAAUUAUUGGGCGUAAAGGGCGCGUAGGCGGUGCGGUAAGUCACCUGUGAAAACUCUGGGCUCAACUCAGAGCCUGCAGGCGAAACUGCCGUGCUUGAGUGUGGGAGAGGUGCGUGGAAUUCCCGGUGUAGCGGUGAAAUGCGUAGAUAUCUGGAGGAACACCGGUGGCGAAGGCGGCAUCCUGGACCGACACUGACGCUGAGGAGCGAAAGCGUGGGGAGCGAACAGG
rnacentral:rRNA from 1 species